AAUGAACGCUGGCGGUAGGCCUAACACAUGCAAGUCGAACGGCAGCACAGUAAGAGCUUGCUCUUACGGGUGGCGAGUGGCGGACGGGUGAGGAAUACAUCGGAAUCUACUUUUUCGUGGGGGAUAACGUAGGGAAACUUACGCUAAUACCGCAUACGACCUACGGGUGAAAGCAGGGGAUCUUCGGACCUUGCGCGAUUGAAUGAGCCGAUGUCGGAUUAGCUAGUUGGCGGGGUAAAGGCCCACCAAGGCGACGAUCCGUAGCUGGUCUGAGAGGAUGAUCAGCCACACUGGAACUGAGACACGGUCCAGACUCCUACGGGACGCAGCAGUGGGGAAUAUUGGACAAUGGUCGCAAGCCUAAUCCAGCCAUACCGCGUGGGUGAAGAAGGCCUUCGGGUUGUAAAGCCCUUUUGUUGGGAAAGAAAAGCAGCAGGUUAAUACCCCGCUGUUCUGACGGUACCCAAAGAAUAAGCACCGGCUAACUUCGUG
rnacentral:rRNA from 1 species